GUUGAAAACCCAUGCUCUUCCCCACGGAAGACCCCUUGUGUUAAUUAACUAGGGGCCAGGCUGAGCCCCAGCUCUCACCCUCUCUCCUUCCCCAGGUCAGCCGUCAGAUCCAGGAGCAUGAGCAGGACUCUGCGCUGCGGGAGCAGCUGAGCGGCUAUAAGCGGAUGCGACGACAGCACCAGAAGCAGCUGCUGGCCCUGGAGUCACGGCUGAGGGGUGAACGGGAGGAGCACAGUGCACGGCUGCAGCGGGAGCUUGAGGCACAGCGGGCUGGCUUUGGGGCGGAGGCAGAAAAGCUGGCCCGGCGGCACCAGGCCAUCGGUGAGAAGGAGGCACGAGCUGCCCAGGCCGAGGAGCGGAAGUUCCAGCAGCACAUCCUUGGGCAGCAGAAGAAGGAGCUGGCCGCCCUGCUGGAGGCACAGAAGCGGACCUACAAACUUCGCAAGGAACAGCUGAAGGAGGUGAGCUAGGGCUGCUUGGGGGCGGAGCCGCUAGCGAGCCCGGUGGGUCCUGACCCUGCUUCCCUCUGCCCUCGCCCAGGAGCUCCAGGAGAACCCCAGCACUCCCAAGCGGGAGAAGGCCGAGUGGCUGCUGCGGCAGAAGGAGCAGCUCCAGCAGUGCCAGGCGGAAGAGGAGGCAGGGCUGCUGCGGCGGCAGCGCCAGUACUUUGAGCUGCAGUGUCGCCAGUACAAGCGCAAGAUGUUGCUGGCUCGGCACAGCCUGGACCAGGACCUGCUGCGGGAGGACCUGAAUAAGAAGCAGACCCAGAAAGACUUGGAGUGUGCACUGCUGCUUCGGCAGCACGAGGCCACGCGGGAGCUGGAGCUGCGGCAGCUCCAGGCCGUGCAGCGCACGCGGGCUGAGCUCACCCGCCUGCAGCACCAGACGGAGCUGGGCAACCAGCUGGAGUACAACAAGCGGCGUGAGCAAGAGUUGCGGCAGAAGCAUGCGGCCCAGGUUCGCCAGCAGCCCAAGAGCCUCAAAGUACGUGCAGGCCAGCGCCCCCCGGGCCUCCCACUCCCCAUUCCUGGGGCUCUGGGCCCACCCAACACAGGCACCCCUAUAGAAGAGCAGCCCUGCUCACCUGGCCAGGAGGCAGUCCUGGGCCAAAGAAUGCUUGGCGAGGAGGAGGAAGCAGUUGGAGAGAGAAGGAUUCUGGGAAAGGAAGGGGCCACUUUGGAGCCCAAGCAGCAGAGGAUUCUGGGGGAAGAAUCAGGAGCCCCUAGUCCCAGUCCACAAAAACAUGGGAGCCUGGUUGAUGAGGAAGUUUGGGGUCUGCCUGAGGAGAUAGAGGAGCUUAGGGUGCCAUCCCUUGUACCCCAGGAGAGGAGCAUUGUUGGCCAGGAGGAGGCUGGGACGUGGAGCUUGUGGGGGAAGGAGGAUGGGAGUCUUUUGGAUGAGGAGUUUGAGCUUGGCUGGGUCCAGGGCCCAGCACUGACUCCCGUCCCCGAGGAGGAGGAAGAAGAGGAAGAGGGGGCUCCGAUUGGGACCCCUAGGGAUCCUGGAGAUGGUUGUCCUUCCCCCGACAUCCCUCCUGAACCCCCUCCAACACACCUGAGACCCUGCCCUGCCAGCCAGCUCCCUGGACUCCUGUCCCAUGGCCUCCUGGCCGGCCUCUCCUUUGCAGUGGGGUCCUCCUCUGGCCUCCUGCCCCUCCUGCUGCUGCUGCUGCUUCCAUUACUGGCAGCCCAGGGUGGGGGUGGCCUGCAGGCAGCGCUGCUGGCCCUUGAGGUGGGGCUGGUGGGUCUGGGGGCCUCCUACCUGCUCCUUUGUACAGCCCUGCACCUGCCCUCCAGUCUUUUCCUACUCUUGGCCCAGGGUACCGCACUGGGGGCCGUCCUGGGCCUGAGCUGGCGCCGAGGCCUCAUGGGUGUGCCCCUGGGCCUUGGAGCUGCCUGGCUCUUAGCUUGGCCAGGCCUAGCUCUACCUCUGGUGGCUAUGGCAGCGGGGGGCAGAUGGGUGCGGCAGCAGGGUCCCCGGGUGCGCCGGGGCAUAUCUCGACUCUGGUUGCGGGUUCUGCUGCGCCUGUCACCCAUGGCCUUCCGGGCCCUGCAGGGCUGUGGGGCUGUGGGGGACCGGGGUCUGUUUGCACUGUACCCCAAAACCAACAAGGAUGGCUUCCGCAGCCGCCUGCCCGUCCCUGGGCCCCAGCGGCGUAAUCCCCGCACCACCCAACACCCAUUAGCCCUGUUGGCAAGGGUCUGGGUCCUGUGCAAGGGCUGGAACUGGCGUCUGGCACGGGCCAGCCAGGGUUUAGCAUCCCAUUUGCCCCCGUGGGCCAUCCACACACUGGCCAGCUGGGGCCUGCUUCGGGGUGAACGGCCCACCCGAAUCCCCCGGCUACUACCACGCAGCCAGCGCCAGCUAGGGCCCCCUGCCUCCCGCCAGCCGCUGCCAGGGACUCUAGCCGGGCGGAGGUCCCGCACCCGCCAGUCCCGGGCCCUGCCCCCC
rnacentral:sRNA from 1 species